ACGUGGCUAUAUUUUGGUCCUCAGGAGUGGAAACCUGGAAAGUUGGACAAUAUUUCGGAAUUUACUUUAAUGAAGUUGUUUAGACUGUAGGCCAUACUUUAUGUUAAACUGCACUGAGGUCUGAUUAAAACGCCAUUAAUCCGUCAUUAUCCAUUACGCCGAGAUCAAGGAGACAUCUCCACUGGUCAUUUUGCCAACUUGCCAGGCUUGAUACAUCGUCCAUUUUAUGGAAAAUGCAAUAUAGUUUCAUUAGCUCUACUCGAAUUUUGCUGGUAGCUAAGAAGUGAGUGGUGUCCGAGGAACAGGGGAGGGGUAAGAUUUUCACUCCCCUUUGAGAAAACUCGCAAGCAAUUUAUAAAAUGCACGCCGAGUUAGAAUUGGGGACUUUUAAUACGCACAAUGUUCGCAAAUUGUAUGUCAAUUCUGAAACUUAAUCGCGUUCGUUUUCUCGGCACCUCUUUGUUCGAUACUAUACUUACACAGACCAAACUCUGGCACUGGGACCGGGAAGUCAAAGAACACUUUGCAAUAAUAAUAACAGAAUCAAAACCCUGCAAUUUACAGUGAGCAAAUCGACCUCAGCACACAGUUUACAAUGGGAACGAGAGAUUGAACAGAUCAAGCUAGAGAAAAUCCUGUUAAAUAUUACUUUGCACUUAAGUUAUAAAAUUAUUAUAGACAAAGCUUGUACGUACAACCAGGGAAGCAUUGUCGCACCAGUGGACAUACUUUUCUUUAUGGUAGCAACCCAUGUAUAACGGGCACUUUACAGCUGUCUCUCAAUCUUUCUAUCUAAUGAUUAAAUUGAUUUUGUUUUCGAUCACAGAUGAAUUCUCUCGGACUUCUUGUUUUGUCGUGUUGAAUUUAGAGUAAUUUCUCUCUCUGCUAAGUGUCACGCACAGGAUUAACUUGCGGAAUUAAUAAAGCGAAUAGUAAUUACAAAACCUAUAAUUAGACAAAAAUAAAUCUUUUAGUGGAGCAAUUCACUGAGAUGAGGAUGAAGAAAUCCCGCCAAUGCUGGAGGACAGGAGCCACCAGUGAUAUGCUCAACUCCAAUCGCUCUCGACUUGAUUCGCAGCAACCCGGCCGCCUUGAACAAAUCAUAAGAGCUCCAUGCGAAAUAAAACCAAUUUAAACCACUUUUAUGUUUGCAACUGCAGUUAGCUGAAUGGAAGACGGAAAGCGAACGCUGAUAGUGAACGUUACACUUGGCCUUGUUUUUAAUUUGAUUGUGUAUCACUGAGAUUGAAACUGCAAAAACAUUUCCACCUGAUACCAGGAAUCAUUUUAUUUUUAACAAAAAAACGGGGGGAAGACAUCAUCGGGUUGUGUAGAGAACAGCUCCCCCACCUCCCCCACUCACAGAUCUAUGGGAAAAGGCAGGCUCAAU